GGAAGGGCAAGCCAACACCCGGCGAUGGCACCCGUCUCGAAAACGGGCGAGCAGCAAUGCCUUGAGGGUUCGACUCCCUCCCUUUCCG
rnacentral:tRNA from 1 species